rnacentral:lncRNA from 10 species
AAUUCUGUUACUAGGGUCGCAUGUCACAAUGCUAUGGGACUACCAUGAAGGCAGUCCAGACAAGAAGAAAAUGCUUCACCAAGAACUGGGAAGAGAGGAGCACCUGAGAUCUGGAAGCAGGAAAAAUGGCAAAAGUCCCCAAGUGAUGGUGGAAACGCUCGAAGAGGUCUUACAGAAAGAGGGUGGUUAGCCAGAGAGAUAAGCUUAUCAAAAUAGAUGAGUGCAAAUGCUGAUAUAGGAACAGAGAUCUGGAGACAGUGGCCAUAGAGGAAGCUAAAAAACCAUCAGGUAAUAUAACAUGUACGUGUUUCCUACAGUGGCAGUAGCAUAGGAGAAAGGUACAGGCAGCUUUAAAGCAACAAACAAAACAACAGUAGACAAUGACCAGGAAAUAUGGUGAGAAGAGUCAUCGGAAGAAAAGAAAGGCAAAACGGCCAAGCAAACAAAUGAUUCUCCUCAUUCAUUGAUUCAACAAACACUUCCUAAGCUCCUCAAGGGGCCAGGGCCCAAGGCAGGCAUGAAGUAGCACUGAGCACACAGACAAGCAGGACACAGGCUGGGAAAUAUCAAUUAAGGUGGGUGUGGUAUGGUAAGUGCAGAGGGUU